GCCGCUCGGGAACAGAAGAUGCUUCCAUCGCCAUCACAGAAAUCGUUUCUGACGGUUUUUAAAUCUUACCAGCAAUGAAAUUUUCUUGAUGUCAUCUGUUAUGGGAUUUCCGAUUUCACUGGAAUAGGCAGCAACCGUGAUGUAAAGCAACAAAUGGACACAGAUGCACUUAAAGGGCUUCACGCUAACCGAAUAAAAGACGGCAAAGACGGCGGUAUCGCAUAUCCUGAGAGAGAGCGCUCUCACUUUACCCUCAGAAGAAGCUUCCUUCAGGACACCAGAUGAAUUCAUGUGGAUUUCAUUUGGGAACUGAUUU